UUCCUCUGGUCAGCCAUUCCACAUGGUUCAUCGCAAGGAUUUCACACAACUCCCCCUCCCAGAAUGAACAGAGACAGACCUGCCAGAUGGACUCCUAGGGACUGGCUUGGGGAUGAAAUGUAACAGGAGCCAGGCUAGUGACAGUCUGCCCUGGAACACUGGAAAAGACACGCCGGGCUUCUCACAGAAAACUCGCCGACGUCACGUAGAAGAAAGCCCUUGACCAACACAAGCCAAACCAAAUCCCAGCAUCGAGAGGGACAGUCAGCACAUAUUCCCACCCUAGCCGAAGAGUAUGGGCAAUUAAUCGUUACUAGGAGAAGGGGAGUCACUUUCUUUAAAAGUGUCGCCUUUGUUGAUUAAAACCCAGCAGAAGGGCACAUAUCCAAGAAUAUAUGGGCAACACUAAUUACACUUGGUUUUUUUUUUUUAAGAGGAUGUGAAGUUGAGUGGGUAGAGAAGUGGGGAAUGGGUCUGGGAAAGAGUGGAGGGGGUGAGUUUGAUCAAUAUACAUUGCAUGAAAUUCUCAAAGAAUUAAUAAAAUUCUUUUUAAAAGACAAA